UACGUAGGGGGCUAGCGUUGUCCGGAUUUAUUGGGCGUAAAGAGCGUGUAGGCGGCCAGGUAGGUCUGGUGUGAAAACUCGAGGCUUAACCUCGAGAUGUCAUCGGAAACCAUCUGGCUAGAGUCCGGAAGAGGCGAGUGGAAUUCCUGGUGUAGCGGUGAAAUGCGCAGAUAUCAGGAGGAACACCGAUGGCGAAGGCAGCUCGCUGGGACGGUACUGACGCUGAGAAGCGAAAGCAUGGGGAGCGAACAGG
rnacentral:rRNA from 1 species